GCUCUUUUCACUAAGCCAAGAUAAAGUUGUUUGAUUCAAAUCUACACAGCCUGGGUGUGCUAAGUAAGUACGCUCAGAUUGGACCAUCUCAGAUCACUGCGUUUCUGGGACAGUCCUUGGAAAAGCAAGAAGAAUCUGAAUGAGAGCUGGAGUCUCCAUAGGUAGAUAACUGGAAAGUAUUUGUUAAUUCAGCGACAGGACUAUUUGAGCUGGAGUAUCUGUAUUUACACAGAUCUCAUCAACUGAAGAACCUUCACGAGCAAAUUGCAUAAACACUAUAGGAUGAAAAUCAGCAAUUGUUGGAACAGUGGCUGCCAAGCAACUAUCAGAAGACCUCCGAUGGCAUGGGGAACUGGAUGCUACCAAGAAGCCUAAUUAAAUUGACUGUGGAAAGUGGCUUGUACAAGGAGUUAAGACUGCCAGAACCACACUAGUAGCCAGGUCUUCCUGGUAGACAGGAAGACCCAGGGCAGCUCCUCUGAAGAGGAGGACAGGGUGGCAAAUCCUGUGACCCUGCCCUUAGGGUUGACUGCUCGGCUGCUGCUGAGUGAACACAGCUCAGGCCUGCAGGAGCUGAAGGGUAUGAAGUCACCAACAAAGCUUGCUGCUGUGCUUAAUCAUUGCUGGGGCUUCUCCAGGUCAUAGAGAAUCAAGACACGGCUUAGUGAGUGGCAGUGAAUUUACAGAACUAGGGAAGCCACCAAGAAAUACAAAGCACAGACUGUGUCCUUCCAAAGCUGUUAUUUAACAAGGAGUUUCAUGGAAAAAAUACUUCUCUGUCCUCUCUGGAACCCUGAAAACCUGGAGAGGUAGACAGUUGAAAAGUAAAGAGACCCCAAAGAAUUCAAGUCUGUCCAGAUUAAGUAAAGAAAAACAAAGUUGUGGGGGUUUUUUGAAUGUUAUUUGAUGAAGAGGGAAAAAGAGCUUCUGCAUGGUUCUUUUUCAUUUUCGAAGAAUUUCCACAAUUAUCACUUCUUUAUAUACAUGGGAAAGAUGUCCAGUGGAAAGAUGGCCUAUGUGGAUGUGAUGAAAACACCAGCAGACCAGGCAGAUCUUCUCUCUCCUGAGGAAGGCCAACUUCCUUCAGGCAGCAGGCACUGAGCAGGACACUGGCCACCAAUAAAUACAGUCUUUGGUCUCCAUGAAAUUCUUUGACUGGUGGAAGGAGAGGCAGCACCUCAACACUGUUACAACGGAUGUGAUGACACAAGCCUUAGUAUCCGGUUGGAGAACAGUGGAGAAGCUCAUGCCGCUCCUCAAGCAAAGUUCACGGUGUGCAGAAGACGAGUCGAUGGCACAGCCUGGAGCAAAGAUGGAAAGUGAAGCCCCUGCACCUCUGCAGCUCUGUGACAACAUAAGGCCAAAACAGUACUCCGAGGCUGACUCGGCACCGCACUACCUGGACUGCCUGUGAGAGCAUCCUCUGACCUCUGUGUCCUCUAGGACAGCAGCUCCCACAGGGGCUGUGCCUUCAGGCUGAAUGUGCUCCUGAAAAGGCUGCUUCCUGCCUCGCUGAGAUUUUCUAUCUGAAGGAGCUCUGUAGGAGAAGAUGGGCCGACCUCCUUCUGGUACCCAUCACUUGCUCUCUGCCUUGGUCACUGAAAUCUAUCUUUCCCAGGCCAUUAUUCUUUCAGUCCCACAGCCAACCAAGAAACCAGACAGCCCCUUCACUCCUGCAGCUGUUUCCUUGGCAACAGGGCCUGGUGGAUUGUUCCCCAGUCCACCUUGUGACCAUUCGGGCCCAGCAGCAGUCUCGGGCGUGCCCAGAGGCUAGCCUGGACAGCACUGUUCUGUAUUUCCAGAGCACGUUUCAUCCAGGCACCUUGAAGCAGGAAUGCUUUCUCUACAUGGAUCUUGCCUUUUGAGAUGAAUGCUAUCAUUCCUCACAUUGUUCACAGGGAGGAAGGAAUCAGGCCAAGAUCAAAGGACCCUCUCCCGGGUUCUUUGGACCUCCUUGCCCAUUUAUUUACAGUCCCCCUCUUUUUUAUUCAGCUAAUGUCCUUGGAAGUCACUGGCAGUUACUCUUUCUGGUUGCCUUUGACACUUCCACACUACAAGGCCCGAGUCAAGAUCACAAUUAUGGAUGGUUCCCUGCUGUGGUUCCAAUCACCUUCUGGAGCCAAGUCAGGAGCUGUCACUAUGCCGCCUAAUCAGGCUUGCUGGGAGUCUCAGCCAGGAAGUGCUGAGUGCCUUCUUCUUUCUGGUGCCCACUCCUGCUCAAACCCGGGGUGCUUCUAGGCAGCGCUAAAGAGAAGUUCUGAGGAUUUUCAUUUUAGCAAAUAAACUUAAACCGAGGGUCACGUA